GUGCACACAUACUAAAAUUGGAACGACAUAGAGAAGAUUAGCAUGGCCCUGUGCAAGGAUGACACGCAAAUUCGUGAAGCAUUCCAUAUUAAA
rnacentral:snRNA from 1 species